UAAGAGCAGCGCGCCGAGUGGUGUGUGUGUGGCAGAGGGCAGCCACGUUUGCUGUCACUCAGUCAGAAUGCGCAGUCAUCCAACUAGCAUUUUCGAAUCUGUCGGUAAAUAAAGCAGACUAUAUUGAUAGAGAUUUACAUGGUUAUCCAAACGUCACGCCAGGCACUUCCAUGUCAUUCUUGACAACAAGGAUGGGAUGCUGACCUUCAUCUGCUGACUGCUCCUGAGGACCUGGGUAAACUGUGCACAGGAGUAACCCCCAUUGGGUACUCAGGGCAAACCACACUCCAAGAGUGAGCAGAUGGAACCCGCCUAAGAUCCAAGUAGGACGCAUCAGCAGGUGUAUACAGCAUCCUGAACAUAGACUAUAGAGGAGAGUGACAGGAGUCCACGUGGAGUGAGCAUGGAGAGAGAUCCAUUCCAAACUUCUCAUGUUGCUGGUAUAC